rnacentral:rRNA from 1 species
UACAGAGGUCUCAAGCGUUGUUCGGAUUCAUUGGGCGUAAAGGGUGCGUAGGCGGCGCGGUAAGUCGGGUGUGAAAUCUCGGAGCUUAACUCCGAAACUGCAUUCGAUACUGCCGUGCUUGAGGACUGGAGAGGAGACUGGAAUUUACGGUGUAGCGGUGAAAUGCGUAGAUAUCGUAAGGAAGACCAGUGGCGAAGGCGGGUCUCGUGGACAGUUCCUGACGCUGAGGC